rnacentral:rRNA from 1 species
GCCUACGGGGGGCAGCAGUGGGGAAUAUUGCACAAUGGGGGAAACCCUGAUGCAGCGACGCCGCGUGAGUGAAGAAGUAUUUCGGUAUGUAAAGCUCUAUCAGCAGGGAAGAAAAUGACGGUACCUGACUAAGAAGCCCCGGCUAACUACGUGCCAGCAGCCGCGGUAAUACGUAGGGGGCAAGCGUUAUCCGGAUUUACUGGGUGUAAAGGGAGCGUAGACGGUAGAGCAAGUCUGAAGUGAAAGCCCGCGGCUCAACUGCGGGACUGCUUUGGAAACUGUUCAACUGGAGUGCUGGAGAGGUA